rnacentral:rRNA from 1 species
UNUUACCAGAAAGGGACGGCUAANUACGUGCCAGCAGCCGCGGUAAUACGUAGNUCCCGAGCGUUGUCCGGAUUUAUUGGGCGUAAAGCGAGCGCAGGCGGUUAGAUAAGUCUGAAGUUAAAGGCUGUGGCUUAACCAUAGUACGCUUUGGAAACUGUUUAACUUGAGUGCAGANGGGGAGAGUGGAAUUCCAUGUGUAGCGGUGAAAUGCGUAGAUAUAUGGAGGAACACCGGUGGCGAAAGCGGCUCUCUGGUCUGUAACUGACGCUGAGGCUCGAAAGCGUGGGGAGCGAACAGGAUUAGAUACCCUGGUAGUCCACGCCGUAAACGAUGAGUGCUAGGUGUUAGGCCCUUUCCGGGGCUUAGUGCCGCAGCUAACGCAUUAAGCACUCCGCCUGGGGAGUACGACCGCAAGGUUGAAACUCAAAGGAAUUGACGGGGGCCCGCACAAGCGGUGGAGCAUGUGGUUUAAUUCGAAGCAACGCGAAGAACCUUACCAGGUCUUGACAUCCCGAUGCCCGCUCUAGAGAUAGAGUUUUACUUCGGUACAUCGGUGACAGGUGGUGCAUGGUUGUCGUCAGCUCGUGUCGUGAGAUGUUGGGUUAAGUCCCGCAACGAGCGCAACCCUUAUUGUUAGUUGCCAUCAUUCAGUUGGGCACUCUAGCGAGACUGCCGGUAAUAAACCGGAGGAAGGUGGGGAUGACGUCAAAUCAUCAUGCCCCUUAUGACCUGGGCUACACACGUGCUACAAUGGCUGGUACAACGAGUCGCAAGUCGGUGACGGCAAGCUAAUCUCUUAAAGCCAGUCUCAGUUCGGAUUGUAGGCUGCAACUCGCCUACAUGAAGUCGGAAUCGCUAGUAAUCGCGGAUCAGCACGCCGCGGUGAAUACGUUCCCGGGCCUUGUACACACCGCCCGUCACACCACGAGAGUUUGUAACACCCGAAGUCGGUGAGGUAACCUUU